GGGCUUCACACGUCAUACAAUGGUCGGGACAGAGGGUCGCCAACCCGCGAGGGGGAGCCAAUCCCAGAAACCCGAUCGUAGUCCGGAUCGCAGUCUGCAACUCGACUGCGUGAAGUCGGAAUCGCUAGUAAUCGCGGAUCAGCAUGUCGCGGUGAAUA
rnacentral:rRNA from 1 species